rnacentral:misc_RNA from 1 species
AAGUCGUAACAAGGUUUCCGUAGGUGAACCUGCGGAAGGAUCAUUAACGAGUUUGACAUGGGUUGAUGCUGGCCUUCCGAGGCAUGUGCUCACCCUGCUCAUCCAUCUACCCUGUGCACCUUUGUGGCGGGUCAGGCCCGAAAGGGUCGAGCCAGCUACGUUUUUAUACACACUUUAGUUCAGAAUGUAACUUGCUAUAAACGCAUUAAAUACAA